rnacentral:rRNA from 1 species
AUUGUUCAACGGCCGCGGUAUCCUAACCGUGCGAAGGUAGCGUAAUCACUUGUUCUUUAAAUGAGGACUAGUAUGAACGGCUUCACGAAGGCUAUACUGUCUCCCUUAUCUAAUCAGUUAAACUAAUCUCCCCGUGAAGAAGCGGGGAUUCACAUAUAAGACGAGAAGACCCUAUGGAGCUUAAAACACCUCUAAACAUUUGACCUCCACACUACUAUUUUCAGAAAUCUUCACAAAGCCCGUCAUUUUGUUUUAAGUUUUAGGUUGGGGUGACCGCGGAGAAUAACCUAACCUCCACGUAGAAAGAACUUUCUUUUCUAAGCAAAAAGCUACAUCUUUAUGCAUCAACAUAUUGACCUAAUUGACCCAAUUAUUUGA